CUUCAGCGAACCCAGCCACAACGGCCGGUCCUCCGAACGCCCCUUCCCAUACGUGGCCAGCAACGCCUGCGCCUC
rfam:Streptomyces avermitilis MA-4680 = NBRC 14893 DNA, complete genome.